AGCAAACCCUUCACCCUGCC
rnacentral:miRNA from 1 species